GCUUAAUUACAUCUUAAAUUAUCAUUAUAGUGUUUAAGUGUCUUAAUUAUACUUUAGCAACUGUUGCCUAACAUCCACACUAUUGUUUAAAAAACCUCCAGCCCUGUAAGUACAGCAGCUCAGGCUGUGUGUGGGCUUUAACUUUCCUCUUCUCUCCCUUCAUUGUACGUGUGAGUCUUUCAGCACAGCCGUCUUCAAGAGUUAAUCCACGUUUAGGGUUUGUAUUUAAACAUCAACUCAGUAUUUGCGAACUAAAUCUACACAGCAGGUGUUAAUUGAGUGCUAAUUUAAAUUCCUCCUGACGAAAGUGAUUAAGGGAGGAAGUGUGGCCCUGGUUGUUGGAGAGGUUGUUUUGUUUGUUGUUGCUUUUUAAUUUUUUUUUUUUUAAAGAACAAAAAUUGUGUAGUUUGUCCAGAGGGAGUUGAGUACUUUAAAAAGUAAAUAAAAGACAGUAAGUGUAGCAUGAUCGCUUGUGGUGUAGGAAGCUGUGAGCAUGCUAAAGGUCAGGCUCUGUGCUCAGACAGGCUCUCUGGCUUCCCAGGGACUUCAAUGAGGGUGCAGUGCACUCUUUUCAGAACUGAAGUUGGCUGCAAGACAUCAAUUUGAGGACAGCUUCGUACACUCAAAAGGCUGAACGCGACCGGGAGACUUGUAUGAAUGAGAAGGAACAGGAAAAAGUGACAUCCAGAAGAGUGGCGAAUGGAAACAUGAGGUGAGGCCACUUUGUCAAAGCUACAGAAGAACUUGGUGGCAAGAGAGCAGUUACUUGAAAUUUCCCAGAGGAGAAGCUUGAGGUGAAUUCUCAUAAACGCCGUGAAAAUCUUCAGCUUCACUCUUUGAAUUCAUCUGGCCGAAGUUUGUGGCUUCCGCUCGGUUCCCCAGCCCCGGGGUGUCCGUGCUGUAGGAUGGCAGGCUGGGUGCGUCACGGUCCUUGCCUGCAGCUUGGCUGUUCCUCGCGAAGCCUAAUACAUAACCAGUGGAGAGUCUCUGUUUAAAUGCUCCAAGAGAAAAUGCGUCACUGGACCAUUACCACCAAAUCAGUAGAAAGAAGAGCUGAUAACUGGCACGCUGUCACUGCUGGCUGUUCCACUCUGUGGAACACUUCUUUGGCUGUUCCAAAUCCAUGAUCGAUCUUCAAUUGAGGAAGGCGUGCAUACAAGCAGAAGGAACAGAUGUACCCUGAGCAAGGGUGUGCCCUGGGUGACCAUCCCACAGCGAAUCCUGAGCAUCAGUCAGAUCCUUCUGCCCUGCAGCCCUGAUGUUUUACAGCUGGUGGAGCCGUAGAUGAACCAAACCUCCUGAACCCUGCCUGCCCUAUUACCCAGCUGCCCGUGCUCUUGCUGUGCAGCAGAGAAAGUCGUGGUGAAAGCAGAGCUGUACUGCGUGAGAGCCAAGCACCCGGCGCUCCCAUUCCCAGCGGUGCUGCCAGCUGCAGGUGCUCGAUACCUCUUGGGACUGGCAGGUAUGGAAAAAAGCACAGCAAAUACGAAAGCAAGCAGUACUCCUAGCCGAAGGUCUGCUUCAUGCAGGCAGUUCCCGUGUUUUCUAACCCGCCCAGCAUGUACUUCAGAGGAUCUGAAGACGUUUAACUAGACUUGGAAGUAGACUGCGUAAUGGAGUGUGAAAAAACAUUUUAGUCUGACCAUGUGCUCUAUAAUAUCAGAUCAAUCAGCCAUCUGGCUUGGGAAAAUGGAAUCAUCUUGAUUACCGAAGUGUGUGGAUCCCUCUGGGAGCUGCAGUUAGCUGCUGAGCGUCUCUGAAGAGUGCCCUGCUCUCCUCACGUGUCCUUCACAGCAGCUUGCUGACAAGUCUUGACACAAGACAGACACAAAUCAAUAGCGUGUUUUUAAAUGUUACUGAGAUGGAAUUUCAGGGAGCCUUCAUGUUAAUGUCAUUUGGCACUUACGUGGAAUAAACAGUAGACGAGGAAAAGCAGACUUGAAUUUGGCUCCAAGAGAGUGAUGCGAAUCCAGGCCCGGCACCUAUUCAACUCCCCGAGGUGUGCUGUGGAAAGCAGAUGGCCUGUGCUUGAGCAGUAAAACUGCUGGGCUCCAGAGUUGGAUUUGUUGUGCAGGUGCAGUUGGUUUACAGCACACGUGGUCAGCCUGACCCUUCCCGGAAGAGAUCUGAGCAUCCCCACUGGGAAGUGCAGACAGAUGGACAAAAUCUCCAAUUCUACCCAGACAAAAGUCCUGGGAAGGCAAAGGAUGAGUCUGGUGAAACCUCGGGUAUUUGGUAGCCCAAGACUUGAGGAUUAGGGUGGUAAAAUCCUUUGGGUUUCUUAAUGGUGCCAAAGUCUGGCCUUUGAUUUCCAUUGCUUUGUAGCUGUUGUUUUUUUUUUUAAUUAAAAAUUACCUAAGUGAAUGGAAACAACUUGUUUGACCUAGAGACUCCAGCUGCUGAAAGUCCCUAAAUGUUGCCCUCCCUGCUUCCCCCAAAUCUUAAUUUGCAUUGUCCUGAUUUGGUAAACGUGAAUUAUGGUUGUUAAGUCCUGGUUCUGGGCAGUUGCAUCAUGUAGGUGUUCUUGCCAAAUAUGGUGAGAAGCUUCAUCUUUGCUCGUUCCCAGCAAGGGAGUGGUGGAGAGGAGGAGGUGGCAGAGGGAAACUGAGAAUCCAGGCAGAGCAAGAGGAGCUCUGGAAGGCUGUCUGCCCUGGUGGAGCUAGAAGUGGCCAUGAGGUGAUGGGUUUUAAGGUUAAGAGCUUUAAAACAGGAGUGAUCCAUUUCCUAUGUGUAUUUCAGGAACUCAGCCUGGGUUAAAACCUUUUUCUAUCCCUAACAGCCCCAGAGAAUGACCCGUUUCCUACCUUUGAUCCUACAAGCCAAGUGGUUCAUUUAUGGUGUGCUCAGUGUGCUGGUGAGUGCUACCUAGGGCAGAUUUCUGUCUUCCCUACGGCUGAGGGGGUAUAAGGUGGUUUGUUGCUAUAUGAAGGAAAUAACCUCUGCAUCUGUCAUCCCACCUGUGAAUACUUGGCCUUUCAAGGCUUUUAUACUGGGACUGAAAGUGUUUGUUUUUGCAGGAGGAUGGCUGCUGAGAUGUUAAAACUAGUCAGUAUGUUAAUCUAAAUGCUGAACAGUAAAAAGGAUAUUUUUAUACAUCCCUAAUCACCUGCUUUGAAAUGUGUUCUGUCCACCAAAAAUCCUCAGAAGUCUAUUAACU